rfam:Medicago truncatula strain A17 chromosome 4, whole genome shotgun sequence.
AUAUAAGCAAAUUUUACUUUUUAGGUUCAUUCAAUUAAUGAUGUAUGUGGUCUAUAUUAUGAACCACAUACAUCAUUGAUUAAAUGAAUCUAAAAAGUAAAAUUUGCUUAUAU